UGGUUCUCGCAUCGAUGAAGAACGCAGCGAAAUGCGAUAAGUAAUGUGAAUUGCAGAAUUCAGUGAAUCAUCGAAUCUUUGAACGCACAUUGCGCCUUCUGGUAUUCCGGGAGGCACGUCUGUUUGAGCGUCAGUUAACAACAACCUCGGGCGGUUCGGUUUCUUCCGCGUUGGCGGCGAGCCCGACCUGCCCGGACAUGGGGCUGGGCGCGGGCGGAGGUCCUUUCCCUCCCCCCAGUUUCCCACCCUGAAUUUAGCCGAAGUUAGCGGGCCGGUACCCCCCGAACGCGACGUAGUAAUGUAAAAGUUCCCACCGUCGUCUUGAGAAUCGUAGGGAUGCGCGCCCCUGCCUGACCCGAGGUCGUGUGCAGACACGACCCACUGACCUUUGACCUCAAAUCAGAUGAGAAUACCCGCUGA
rnacentral:misc_RNA from 1 species